rnacentral:rRNA from 1 species
GUCGUACUGAGCUUAGAGUUUGAUCCUGGCUCAGGGUGAACGCUGGCGGCGUGGAUAAGGCAUGCAAGUCGUGCGGAAAGAUAUUUCUGGUUUUACCAGAAAUAUCUUUCAGCGGCGAACGGGGCAGUAACACGUACCUAACGUACCCCGUGCACAGGGAUAACCUUCCGAAAGGAAGGCUAAUACCUGAUAGUCUCCCUUCUACACAAGUAGAGGGGAGUAAAGGUGUACCUUUUGGUACACCGGCACGGGAACGGGGUGCGGCCGAUCAGCUAGUUGGUGGGGUAAUGGCCCACCAAGGCUAAGACCGGUAGGGGGCCUGAGAGGGUGUUCCCCGCCACGGGCACUGAGACACGGGCCCGACUCCUACGGGAGGCAGCGGCCGAGAAUCUUGGGCAAUGGGCGAAAGCCUGACCCAGCGACGCCGCGUGCCGGAAGAAGCCCUUCGGGGUGUAAACGGCUUUUCUGGGGGAGGAAGUCCUGCUUUUUAGCAGGAUUGACAGUACCCCAGGAAUAAGGGACGACCAACUUCGUGCCAGCAGUCGCGGUGAGACGAAGGUCCCAAGCGUUACCCGGAUUUACUGGGCGUAAAGAGCAAGCAGGUGGUACCUUAAGUCUCUCCUAAAAGUUUCCCGGCCCAACCGGGAAAAAGGGAGAGAUACUGAGGUACUAGAGACCGCCAGGGGCUAGCGGAACGCACGGUGUAGGGGUGAAAUCCGAUGAUAUCGUGCGGAACGCCGAAGGCGAAGGCAGCUAGCUAGGGCGGUUCUGACACUGCUGCUUGCGAAAGCUAGGGGCGCGAACCGGAUUAGAGACCCGGGUAGUCCUAGCUGUAAACUAUGGGUGCUAACCUUAGGGAGUCUCGACCCUCUCUGAGGUAAAGCUAACGCGUCAAGCACCCCGCCUGGGGAGUACGACCGCAAGGUUGAAACUCAAAGGAAUAGGCGGAAGCCCGAACAAGCGGUGGACCAUGUUGCUUAAUUCGAGAGUGACCGAAAAAUCUUACCCGGGCUUGACAUGUAGGUCUUAAUGUCUUCCUCGAAAGAGGAAGAAAACUGGCUCUGCCAGUGGGCCUACACAGGUGCUGCAUGGCGGUCGUCAGCUCGUGGUGUGAACUGUAACCUUAAUUGGCACAACGAGCGCAACCCCUGCCCUGUGUUACACGUGUCACAGGGGACUGCCGAGUACUAACUCGGAGGAAGGAGGGGAUGACGUCACGUCCGCAUGGCCCUUAUGCCCGGGGCGGCAAACAUGGUACAAUGCAGGGGACAAAGGGAAGCGAUGGCGCGAGCCGGAGCCAAUCCCUAAAAACCCUGCUCAGUUCGGAUUGAAGGCUGAAACUCGCCUUCAUGAAGGUGGAAUCGCUAGUAAUCGCGGGUCAGCUAUACCGCGGUGAAUACGUUCUCGGGCUUUGCACUCACUGCCCGUCAGGUCAGGGGAGUUCUCUCUACCUGAAGCUCUACGAAUGUAGAGUUAGGGUAGGGGGAAUGACCAGGGCUAAGUCGUAACAAGGUAACCAAGCCCGUAAUC